AAGUCGUAACAAGGUCUCCGUUGGUGAACCAGCGGAGGGAUCAUUACAGAGUUGCAAAACUCCCACACCAUUGUGAACGUUACCCGUACCGUUGCUUCGGCGCGCCGGCUCCCCCCGUUCGCGGGGGGGCGGCCCGCCGGACGAUAUCAAAACUCUUGUCUCACACUGGCCUCUCUGAGAACUUGUACAAAUGAGUCAAAACUUUCAACAACGGAUCUCUUGGUUCUGGCAUCGAUGAAGAACGCAGCGAAAUGCGAUAAGUAAUGUGAAUUGCAGAAUUCAGUGAAUCAUCGAAUCUUUGAACGCACAUUGCGCCCGCUAGUAUUCUGGCGGGCAUGCCUGUUCGAGCGUCAUUUCAACCAUCAAGCCCCCGGGCUUGCGUUGGGGCACCGCGGCCGCCGCGGUCCCUGAAAACCAGUGGCGGGCUCGCUGUCACUCCGGGCGCAGUACUAUAUCUCGCUCUGGUUGUGCGGCGGGUGCCGGCCGUUAAACACCCCCCUUCAUACCAAGGUUGACCUCGGAUCAGGUAGGAAUACCCGCUGAACUUAAGCAUAUCAAUAAGCGGAGGAAAAGAAACCAACAGGGAUUGCCCUAGUAACGGCGAGUGAAGCGGCAACAGCUCAAAUUUGAAAUCCGGCUCCGGCCCGAGUUGUAAUUUGUAGAGGAAGCUUUUGGUGCGGCACCUACCAAGUCCCCUAGAACGGGGCGCCAUAGAGGGUGAGAGCCCCGUAUGGUAGGACGCCAAUCCUCUGUAAAGCUCCUUCGACGAGUCGAGUAGUUUGGGAAUGCUGCUCUAAAUGGGAGGUAAAUUUCUUCUAAAGCUAAAUAUUGGCCAGAGACCGAUAGCGCACAAGUAGAGUGAUCGAAAGAUGAAAAGCACUUUGAAAAGAGGGUUAAACAGCACGUGAAAUUGUUGAAAGGGAAGCGCUUGUGACCAGACUUGCGCCGGGUUGAUCAUCCGGAGUUCUCUCCGGUGCACUCUGCCCGGCUCAGGCCAGCAUCGGUUCUCGCAGGGGGAUAAAGGCCCUGGGAACGUAGCUCCUCCGGGAGUGUUAUAGCUCAGGGUGCAAUGCCCUCGCGGGGACCGAGGAUCGCGCUCUGCAAGGAUGCUGGCGUAAUGGUCACCAGCGACC
rnacentral:rRNA from 1 species